CUCUCUCUCUUUGUUUUUUUCCAGUCUGAACCCCAACCAGAACCCUCAAAUCCUCCACUAAUUGUACUCAAAGUGGGGCAUUCGGGAAAUAAAACGCCAUCUGAAACAGGGGAGCAGGACCAUCUGCGGGAGCUUCUCUCAGGCGAAGAGCGGGCACAGUUGUAUAUGAGAAUGAGUUGAGAGAGCGAGAGAGCGAAGGGGCCUUAAAAGACAACGGCGAUUAUGGCUUGGAAUAUGCUAGAUCGAAAAAGAGGCGACAUUCUUAUCUGUUAAAGCAAACGGCUUUUCUUCUUCUCAUCCUUUUCUCUUUUUCCUCCCUUAAAUCGGAGGCAGAUCAUUGAAGACACACCCACCAUUGCCCUCUGCGAUCCCACCCAUCAAGUGGUUGCCCUCAUGCUUGACAUCGGAGCUCGUUUUCAUCAUUAGAAUUCGAGAAGAGAGAGAAGAGCGAGGGAUGGGGUGAAAUUGAGGGGCGGGAUGGUCGAAGGGGCUGAAGGAGGGCUUAAGGUCUCUAUUUUUGUUGCUCCUGUCAAGAAUCACAAUUUGCAGUUACAUAGGAAUUUGAGCUGUUGGGGACAUUGGAUUUACAGUUUUUUGUCCUUUGACUUAGUAAUUUUAGUUUCUGAAAUUUAAGUAGACAAAAGCUUUAGAAUGGCUGAUUUUAGAGCUAGAAGGCUUGAACCGGGUCAGACGAAGUUCAGAAAUGUUCCCAUUGCGGUGACUCCGGAAGGGUUCUGGUGUUGCCCUUCUCCUGCUGUACUUCAAAAGACUCUCAAAAAUCAUAAUCAUCAAAAUAAACAAAAGGGGUCACCACCACCAUUGAAGGAUCCUUCGCUUCAGAAGGCUCCAACUCCCCCAACAGAAAAUAUACCACUUCCUAACCAGUUAAGAUCUAGGGCUGUUUUGGAUGAUCAGAGAUGUAUGACCCCGGAUGCUUCUGCUGCAAGUCCAACAAAAGCUCCUGAGAGGCCACCGAAACCAAAUGGUGAGAACCAAAAACGAAAGAUAUGUGUUGGAUUCGGUCAGCCCGAGACCAGUGAUUUGAAAGUCAUUUUGUUCGGAAAGGAAGGGAUUGCUGUGAGGAUAGGUGUUCACAGGAACAUUCUUGCAGAACAUAGCAGCUUCUUUGCAGAUAAGCUCUCUAGACAGUCUCCCGUACCAUAUAUUGAAAUAAUGGACUGUGAGGAUGUCGAGAUUUAUGUUGAGACUGUGGGAUUGAUGUACUGUAAAGAAGUGAAACACAGAUUGAUCAAGCAAAGUGUUCCACGUGUACUCCGCAUUCUAAAGGUUGCAGAAUCACUUGGCUACCGUUCGUGCAUCAAAUCAUGCUUAGAUUUCCUGGAAGCAGUCCCUUGGGUUGGAGAAGAAGAAGAAAAUGUGGUAAUAUCUAUCCGACAUCUUCAGAAUGAUAAUUAUGGAGUCAAUCCUAUACUGAAACGAGUAUCUUCUGAUAUCUCCAAUCCUCCUAAUGAUACACUUGCUCGUAUAUUGGAGCUGGUCCUCAAAAGCAACGAGGAUCGAGGUCGGCGAGAGAUGAAAUCCUUAGUGUUGAAGCUUUUGAAGGAAAAUAGUCUUUGGACCAAUGGAUCUGCAGAUAUAUGCAUUGAAACUUUAUACAGUUCAUGCCACAACUGCUUAGACUCGCUAUUAGCUCUUUUCAGAGAAGCAUCUGAACCUGGUUUUGCAGAUAAAUCUUUGGAAAGCAAAGAUCCUGUUGUUCGGCAGAUAGCUCUCGGGGCAGAUAAUCUUCUUUGGUUAGUUGAGAUUUUGGCUGACAGGCAUAUAGCAGGUGAGUUUGCAGUGAUGUGGAGUAGCCAGAAUGAGCUAUCUGAAUUACACUCAAAGCUACCAAUUGUGUCACGUCACCCAGUGAGCUGCAUCACAGCUAGGCUUUUUGUUGCAAUUGGAAGAGGAGAGGUGCUUCCAUCAAUGGACACUCGCCAGCUGCUGUUACAUGUUUGGUUGCAGCCGCUUAUUGAUGACUACAGUUGGUUACAGCAUGUAUGUAGAUCAUUUGAUCGAAAGGUUGUGGAGGAAGGAAUUGGUCAAACCAUUCUUACACUUCCUUUGGAAGAUCAGCAGAAUAUUUUGCUCUCAUGGUUCGGAAGUUUCUUAAAGGUUGGCGAUAACUGCCCAAAUCUUCAGAGAGCCUUUGAGGUCUGGUGGAGGAGGACUUUCAUAAGGCCAUAUGUUGAACAGCAGGGAAACCUUGCGCAAUCAGCUAGAAGUUGACCUAGAGUUGGACAAGAAGAUAGAAAUGAGUCCAUCUUAUUUGCGUAAUGUCGGUUGCAUAAUGGAUGGCAUGAGAGCAAAAAAGAACUUUCUAUUGAGAUUUGAAGAUUGGAGAGGGAAAUGCUUUUAGAUUUGGAUGCACUGUACACUGUUUUGGUGGUGGACAGUGCCAGCAUGUUCAUGAUGCUAGUGACAUAUAAAUGGGAUACUUCAAAGACAUGCAGGUCUUUUGCUUGCUUCAGGUUACUCAAGGACCCUCCUCUUUGGCUUGUGUAUGACAAAUUUCUUCUCUUGGUGGCGCGCACCCACUUCAUGCAAGCAGAAGAAAGGGCUUGUAGGGUUGGGAUAUUGGACUUGGAUGAUCAUCCUAAUAUAUGACUGGUCUGUCAUCUUCUUGUGGGCCUACAACUUUGUUAACUUAAAGCCUCAACGUAGCAAAAGAACUUUGCAAACAAUAAUUUUCCAUAUAGAUGAUGGCACUGUGCAUCUUUCCAGGUUUGGAUCAA